rnacentral:misc_RNA from 1 species
GAUGAAGAACGCAGCAAAAUGCGAUAAGUAAUGUGAAUUGCAGAAUUCAGUGAAUCAUCGAAUCUUUGAACGCACAUUGCGCCCGCUGGUAUUCCGGCGGGCAUGCCUGUUCGAGCGUCAUUUCAACCCUCAAGCCCCCGGGUUUGGUGUUGGGGAUCGGCUCUGCCCUCUGGGCGGUGCCGCCCCCGAAAUACAUUGGCGGUCUCGCUGCAGCCUCCAUUGCGUAGUAGCUAACACCUCGCAACUGGAACGCGGCGCGGCCAUGCCGUAAAACCCCAACUUCUGAAUGUUGACCUCGGAUCAGGUAGGAAUACCCGCUGAACUUAAGCAUAUCAAUAAGCGGAGGA